UACGUAGGGAGCAAGCGUUGUCCGGAAUCAUUGGGCGUAAAGCGCGCGUAGGCGGCCUCAUAAGUCCGUUGUGAAAGUCAAAGGCUCAACCUUUGAAAGCCGAUGGAUACUGUGAGGCUAGAGUCCGGAAGAGGCGAGUGGAAUUCCUGGUGUAGCGGUGGAAUGCGCAGAUAUCAGGAGGAACACCAAUGGCGAAGGCAGCUCGCUGGGACGUGACUGACGCUGAGACGCGAAAGCGUGGGGAGCAAACAGG
rnacentral:rRNA from 1 species